UUGGGGGGUGGACCUGCCGGAAGGACAUUA
rnacentral:rRNA from 1 species